CCCAGGGGGAGGGUCCGCUAGGGGGAGGGUCCCUGCGUGAAGAUGGUCUCCUAAAGCAAGGGUCCCCCAGGGGAGGGUCCUCUAGAGGGAGGGUCUCCUGCUGAUUCUGAGCCAAAGCGAGGUGGGCGCGGUCGGCGGAGCUCCGCCGCAUGUGUGUGUCCUGAAGCAAACCACCCUCGCUCUGCCUGCCAGCCGAGUCCAGUCCACACUUAACCUCUUCCUUUCGUCCAGGAACACAUGCCCAUCCAUGACCUUCCUUGCAAAUGGCAGCGCGUGCCCAUCUUGCUGUCCGGUGGCUCAGUCGUGUCUGACUCUCUGCACCCCCUUGGAAGGCAGCACGCCAGGCUUCCCUGUUCUUCAGUGGCUCGGGCAACUUCUUGACGUCAGGACGCUCAAAAAAGUGCCCCGAGCCUCUUUUGCUGUGAUUGAUUUUGCAGUUCAGAGGAACCUUUAUGGAAACUUGCUUGGAAAUUGGAAAGCCAAGCCAGUAUGCUGGAAGUUGCAGCAGAAGCAUUGACAUCACUGCUACUCCGAAAGGUCUGGAGACACCUCUGGGAAAUUUUUUAUUCCAGAAUCAUCCUGACCUUCUUUACAGGUUCUGAGAGUCAGGAAUUUAAUCAAGGUGCAGCCAGGAAAGGACUGGGGACUGGAAUCAUCUGGAAUAUCCUCAUCGAUGUCUGGUACCUGCGUUGGGAUUACUUGCAGGCUGGGCUGGAUUGCAGCUGUUCCCCAGACUGCAUUCAUGCAGUUCCUCCAUAUGACUUGGGCUUCCACACGACAUGGCAGCUGAGUCUGAGAGUGAGUGUCUGGAAACUGUAUGACCUCGCAUGACCUAGCCUUGGAAGGAAUGCACCAUCACUCCAUCUAUCUGUUGAGACUGGCCCAUAUUCAAGAAGAGGGAGAAUUAGAUGCUAUCUCUUGACUGGGCUGGAGGUAGCGCGGAGGCCAAGUCACCUUACAGGAGGGCAGGCAAGUUGCGAAAUACUGUUGUAGCCAUCUUGGAAAAUACAGUCUCCCAGAGACAAUCCCUGUGGACUCAGGGAAAUAUUGGGUUGGCCAAAAAGUUUGUUCAGGUUUACCCUACCAUCUUACAGGAAAACCCCAAAGAACUUUCUGGCCAGCCCAGUACUUGGAAGAAGAGUAUUUUGCAGGGUCCAGGAGCCCUGCCUUAGAAACCCAGGGUUCAGAUUAGAAACACACAGCCCUCCAUGUCAGCCACUCCUUCUACUGCUAAGUAUUAUGUGUCCACCCCCCAAAGUCAUGUGGAAAGCCUAAUGCCCAAUGCCUUAGAAUGGGGCCAUACGUGGAGAGCAGCUUUCAAAGAGGCGAUGUAAGCUACCAUGGGGUCAACAGGGCAGGCUCUAAUCCAUUCUGACUGGUGUGUUUGAAAGAAGCGGAAAUUUGGGCACACAGGAACACCAGGAUGCCCACACAGAGGAAGAC
ensembl:lncRNA